UACGAGAGGCCCAAACGUUAUUCGGAAUUACUGGGCUUAAAGAGUUCGUAGGCGGCGCAGAAAGUAGGGUGUGAAAGCCCUCGGCUUAACCGAGGAGUUGCGCUCUAAACUACUGUGCUUGAGGAACCUAGAGGUGAGCAGAACAGAUGGUGGAGCGGUGAAAUGCGUUGAUAUCAUCUGGAAUACCGGAGGCGAAGGCGGCUCACUGGGGGUUUUCUGACGCUGAGGAACGAAAGCCAGGGUAGCGAACGGG
rnacentral:rRNA from 1 species